AGUCGAACGGCAGCACGGAGAGCUUGCUCUCUGGUGGCGAGUGGCGAACGGGUGAGUAAUGCAUCGGAACGUACCGAGUAAUGGGGGAUAACUGUCCGAAAGGAUGGCUAAUACCGCAUACGCCCUGAGGGGGAAAGCGGGGGAUCGAAAGACCUCGCGUUAUUUGAGCGGCCGAUGUUGGAUUAGCUAGUUGGUGGGGUAAAGGCCUACCAAGGCGACGAUCCAUAGCGGGUCUGAGAGGAUGAUCCGCCACAUUGGGACUGAGACACGGCCCAAACUCCUACGGGAGGCAGCAGUGGGGAAUUUUGGACAAUGGGGGGAACCCUGAUCCAGCCAUGCCGCGUGUCUGAAGAAGGCCUUCGGGUUGUAAAGGACUUUUGUUAGGGAAGAAAAGCCGGGUGUUAAUACCAUCUGGUGCUGACGGUACCUAAAGAAUAAGCACCGGCUAACUACGUGCCAGCAGCCGCGGUAAUACGUAGGGUGCGAGCGUUAAUCGGAAUUACUGGGCGUAAAGCGAGCGCAGACGGUUAAUUAAGUCAGAUGUGAAAUCCCCGAGCUCAACUUGGGACGUGCAUUUGAAACUGGUUAACUAGAGUGUGUCAGAGGGAGGUAGAAUUCCACGUGUAGCAGUGAAAUGCGUAGAGAUGUGGAGGAAUACCGAUGGCGAAGGCAGCCUCCUGGGAUAACACUGACGUUCAUGCUCGAAAGCGUGGGUAGCAAACAGGAUUAGAUACCCUGGUAGUCCACGCCCUAAACGAUGACAAUUAGCUGUUGGGACACUAGAUGUCUUAGUAGCGAAGCUAACGCGUGAAAUUGUCCGCCUGGGGAGUACGGUCGCAAGAUUAAAACUCAAAGGAAUUGACGGGGACCCGCACAAGCGGUGGAUGAUGUGGAUUAAUUCGAUGCAACGCGAAGAA
rnacentral:rRNA from 1 species